UACGUAGGGGGCAAGCGUUGUCCGGAAUCAUUGGGCGUAAAGCGCGCGUAGGCGGCUAGAUCAGUCUGCUGUAAAAGUCAAAGGCUCAACCUUUGAAUGUCGAUGGAUACUGCCGGGCUAGAGUCCGGAAGAGGCGAGUGGAAUUCCUGGUGUAGCGGUGGAAUGCGCAGAUAUCAGGAGGAACACCAAUAGCGAAGGCAGCUCGCUGGGACGUUACUGACGCUAAGGCGCGAAAGCGUGGGGAGCGAACAGG
rnacentral:rRNA from 1 species